rnacentral:rRNA from 1 species
GAUGAACGCUGGCGGCGUGCCUAAUACAUGCAAGUCGAGCGAACGGACGAGAAGCUUGCUUCUCUGAUGUUAGCGACGGACGGGUGAGUAACACGUGGAUAACCUACCUAUAAGACUGGGAUAACUUCGGGAAACCGGAGCUAAUACCGGAUAAUAUUUUGAACCGCAUGGUUCAAAAGUGAAAGACGGUCUUGCUGUCACUUAUAGAUGGAUCCGCGCUGCAUUAGCUAGUUGGUAAGGUAACGGCUUACCAAGGCAACGAUGCAUAGCCGACCUGAGAGGGUGAUCGGCCACACUGGAACUGAGACACGGUCCAGACUCCUAAGGGAGGCAGCAGUAGGGAAUCUUCCGCAAUGGGCGAAAGCCUGACGGAGCAACGCCGCGUGAGUGAUGAAGGUCUUCGGAUCGUAAAACUCUGUUAUUAGGGAAGAACAGAUGUGUAAGUAACUGUGCACAUCUUGACGGUACCUAAUCAGAAAGCCACGGCUAACUACGUG